AUCCCGUCAGCAUGGCGUCGGGCUUCAUCGGAGCGCGAGAGGGGGUCUGUUUCUGUCUUUGGUUAUCUAGCUGUAUGAGUUUUAAAUGCCUGUCAUAAAGCUAGAUAACCGAAAGUAGAAAUGACUCCCGGAACGUUGUGUUCAUCCCCGAAAGACGCGGGACUCCUCGAGCUUCCAACUGGGAAAAAGGUGAGGAAAUCGUUUUGCUUUGUGUGUGUGUGUUUUUUUAAGUUUGAUAAAAUAUAAAAUGAAACAAUUAGCAUUAAAUAAUCCCAAAUUGAUACAAAACUUGUGUAUAUUACAUUCGCUUUUAUAAAUAGCUUCAUCAGUUAAUUUUUCUAUAUUCUUUUUCUUUUUUUAAUAAGUAUACACACAUUUCCAGAGCUUUUUGCAGAACAAAAUGUUUAGCUUCAGCAAUAUCAGUCAUGUUGGUCUGAAGAAAACAAAAAUACCGUUGAGAAAUUUGAAGAAAAAAAAGUUAUCCCAGGAUGUCAUUAAUGGCUUUAGAGUAGUAGACGUUGUUUGUUUGUCUUUCUAUCUCAAUCCACUUUAUUUUAAGGAUUCAGUACAUGAGGUCCUUGUACAAAGGGGCCCUCAGUGUUUGCUGUCCAUUCAGGCCCUCUGCAACGUGGUGCUGCAUGUUAAACGGGUCGCUCCGCUGGAGGGGAACAGCACGGACCCCGACCGUUUUGUUUUCAUCCCGUGGAAGAAGAAGAUCAAAUUGAAUAAUGCAUGCACAGAGUUCAUAUUACGUCAUAGUGUGUCUUUUUUCUCACAGGAGACAUUUAACUUGUCACAGAGGGGGAAGCACAGGUGUCACCAGUAACACUUAACAGAGGCUCUGUUCUAUUUCCAUGUAAGUCACGACAAUGUGACCGUGAGCCGUCGUGCAGCUAAAUCGGCCAUCUUUAAUUGGGCCACGGGGACAUGUGUCUUCUGGCGGUGGGGGGUUCCUGCUCACCUGUAGUAAGUUAAAAAAACAAAAACAAACAGGACUUCAGGACUUCUCUCUGGGACCCCUGGGGGCUCCUCUCUGUCCUGCCAUCCAUUUUUUUUUUACUAUCUUUUGGAUUUAUACUUCGCAUUUAACGUGGUAUUUAUUACUUUAAUCGUUUGGAAGACUCAUUUCUGUUUAUUCUAUAUUUAAAUCUCACCUGUGCGACGUUGCUUGUAGAAGAAAGAAAAGGGACGCCACCGCUUUGUCCGUGCGGCACUAAUGUCUCCGCCUGUUAACGCAGUCAAGUGCUGGAGCAACCUACACACACACACACACACACACACACACACACACACACACACACACACACACAGGGAUAAAAAAGACACUUGGCGUCUGCAUUUAAAGCUGUAGCUAAUCUCAAGGCCUUUGGGACACAUUGUGUCGUGGCUGAAUGAGACGGGCCAGGGCCGUCCUGCAGACAGGAUCUGAGUUUUUGAACUUGGCACUUCAGUGCGGCGCACAUACGCUCGGCCCGCAGAAUGCCACCAAAAGCCUAAAUGGCACCAAAGUGAGAUGAGUUUUCAUUCACCCUCUCAACCUAUCGCAGCAGAGCUCGCCGUCGAACCGGGCAAAUUGCUUCGCUUCACAGCGAUUUAUGUGAAAAAAGCCGUCAGUCCAAGUCUCUGCCCGAGCUUCCCGCUGUCGGGGCGUGCCAGCACGCCGCCGUUCCUCAGUGAAGAGGAGUAACAACACUUGAGGCCUUAUUUAUGGGAUAGUCAGGGCGUUCCUGUUGCAACCUGCAUUGUUUUUUGUGCUUUGACUUUAAGCAAAAACACACACUCAUGCACGCACAAAAACUUAACAAGGGGACUGGCCGUUAAUGGAGAAAAGCUGGCAGAGAUUUAAAGGUUUUUAAUAACUUUACAAGCACAUCUCAGUGCAAAUGUGAAGCGUUACAGGUCUAAAGAAAGCAAAGUUACUAUUUAGCCUGUGUUUAGCUAUGCUGAUGACUGAAAGUGCAAAUGUGUUUCUCCUGUUUCACUCCUUGGUUUUCUCCCUUCCGUCCGCUCUCUUUUUACAGGCUUCCAAUAUACGACAUUGAAUGAUCGUGGAUCCCUGAAAAGAGGCUCGAGCCAUCGUUGAAAGAAAAGGAAGCGAGAGCUGAGGGGAAAACGGUCGGUCCGGAAUUGCUACCUCCUCCUCCUCCUCCACCCCCAUUAGUCGUCCUUUUUGCCCAAGAGCCUCUAAUGCCAUCUGUGCUGCCAACGGGGGUUGGAGGGGAGGGGGCGGAUUCUGCCCGUGCCAGGACGCGGACAAAGACCCUUCCGGAUCCCCGGAGCACGGGCACGCUCAGAGGAGCCAUCUUGGGGAGAUGUUGCCGCGACACCUAAAAUGGCAGGCUGGCACACCGAGGUGAAUUCUGUAGAGGAGGCGACACUGAGAUAAUAACUAUUUGGGACGGGGAACAGGAUCGGCCUCUCUGCGCUCUGAAGGAACCUGCUUGGGCGCGAGGACAUGGACCAAACUCAACGAAAUACUGUCUUCAGAAAGUCUCAACAGAGAUCAUCAGUCACCUAAACGAGGAGAGCAGCCCUGUGUGGCAAAGGACAUGUAGAAAGAAAAGAGCUACUGUACAAGCUGGAAAUGUGCCUGUUAUCCAUGUUCAUGAUAUUGUAUUAAUGUGUGUGAUACAUAUACAUUAUUUUAAAAAUUGCAGAAAACUUGUUCUCACCGAUAUAUCUAAAGUGCAUCUACAUGUUUUAAUUAAUAAUUUAUGAAACUGCUGUUCUCAUAUGUCUGAAUUGAAAUAGGAAUUUAUAAGACUGGAGUGCAUUACUGAAAAAGCUGAUUGUAUUUCUUCUUUGAAUUAAAUCGAUAAUGAAAAUAUUUUCAUCUCUGUGUUACAAUCGUGCUUUUGAGCAAUUAUUUCAGUGAUAAAUUAGGAAGGGAAACAAUAAAUUAUUACAAUGCGGACAUCCUAAAGAAUGUGUUUUCAUGUUGAAUGUUUUCAACAGCACUUUGUCUUUAAUCUUCAAUAAAAAAAUGAACAAGGAUCGAUCUAAAACAGACAGUAUACGGAGUCAAGCCGGCUGGACCUUUUCUCUGCCGGCUUUCUGUUUUUAGAUUCAAAUGGUAAUUUCUGUGAGGAUCGUGCGAGGCGGUCUUUGAGUGACCCCACAUUAAGGUUUAAUUAGGAGGAGCAGACGGGGGGUUGUGUGUUGAUCAGUGUGGGAAAAGAGAAAUUCACUGCCUGAACUGUCUACACUGCGGAAAUAGACAUUCACUCUGUUCAUAUCGGCUGCGAAAAAUGAUACGGCUAAAUAACAGGAGUGUUAUAUUUGGAAAGGUUUCUUUUUACUGCUCAGCAGGCACGAUGUAUCGGGGAUUACAGGCAGUCAAACAACAGAUGCUCCUGCUUCUUAUGAGAGAUUAUCUCUGUCUCUAGGACACAAAUUAUUUCCUCUCCAUUGAAAUGAUGCCUUAUCUUAGAUUCAGAGGUUUGAUGUUCCUUUUUCAACAAUUUAACAAUUUAACUGGGAUUUCUUAUUUAAUAUAUGUCAUUUUAUUCAAUGUGUGAAAAUGUAUUUUAAUUUGUUUUAAAAUAUCUUACUAAAGUUUACAACAAACUUUAAAAUGUUAAAUAAAGAAUAAAAAGCAUUGCUGUCACAGAUUGCACAAGAGCUGUUGCAUUAAGAAAGACAAAAAGCUAGACUAUUACUACUAUAUUUGUAGACCAAAGAGAGGAUCUACAAACCAAAAUAACGGUGAACUAUUGAAUACAAUAAACUGUAAAAGAGACAAAAAUAGUCACAAACCCAGUGAGGACACAUGGGAGUUGUAUGAAAGAACUGAGGGGGG
ensembl:lncRNA